rnacentral:tRNA from 1 species
GACACUUUGGCCGAGUGGUUAAGGCGAUGCCCUGCUAUCCUGUGAGAUAUCUUCAGGCAUUGUGUUCGCACGCGCAGGUUCGAAUCCUGCAGGUGUCG